CCUUACGGGUAGAUCUCCCACCCUUUGUAUACUAUACCUUUGUUGCUUUGGCGGGCCGCCUAGCUACUGGCUUCGGCUGGUAUGUGCCCGCCAGAGGACCCAAAACCCUGAAUUAUUAGUGUCGUCUGAGUAAAAUAUUUAAUAUUUAAAACUUUCAACAACGGAUCUCUUGGCUCUGGCAUCGAUGAAGAACGCAGCGAAAUGCGAUAAGUAAUGUGAAUUGCAGAAUUCAGUGAAUCAUCGAAUCUUUGAACGCACAUUGCGCCCCUUGGUAUUCCGAGGGGCAUGCCUAUUCGAGCGUCAUUAUCACCCCUCAAGCCUAGCUUGGUGUUGAGGCCUGCUGUCAAGGCAGCCUCUAAAAUCAGUGGCAGUGCUGUCAGGCUCUAAGCGUAGUAAAUCUAAUCGCUAUAGACACCUGGUGGACACUCGCCAGAACCCCCCCAUUUUUUAAUGAUUGACCUCGGAUUAGGUAGGGAUACCCGCUGAACUUAAGCAUAUCA
rnacentral:rRNA from 1 species